GAUCCUGGCUCAGAGCGAACGCUGGCGGCAGGCCUAAUACAUGCAAGUCGAGCGGGUCCUUCGGGAUUAGCGGCGGACGGGUGAGUAACGCGUGGGAACGUGCCCUUUGGUACGGAACAACUGAGGGAAACUUCAGCUAAUACCGUAUGUGCCCUUCGGGGGAAAGAUUUAUCGCCAUUGGAGCGGCCCGCGUUGGAUUAGGUAGUUGGUGAGGUAAAGGCUCACCAAGCCUACGAUCCAUAGCUGGUCUGAGAGGAUGACCAGCCACACUGGGACUGAGACACGGCCCAGACUCCUACGGGAGGCAGCAGUAGGGAAUCUUGCGCAAUGGGCGAAAGCCUGACGCAGCCAUGCCGCGUGAAUGAUGAAGGUCUUAGGAUUGUAAAAUUCUUUCACCGGGGACGAUAAUGACGGUACCCGGAGAAGAAGCCCCGGCUAACUUCGUG
rnacentral:rRNA from 1 species